ACAGCCCACAUGCACACCUGCUUAUCUCGUGUUAAAAGCAGUCUUCCAGUUCGUCCACUUUGUCCAUGACGGCAGAUUGUUUCGAAGAUCGAACACAAACGAAACACACAGUUCAGACUUACAGUAAUGUGUUUCAGGACGUUUCGACACACGAUUAAAUCAGCUACAGACCGAUUGGAGUUCGUUAAGAAGGAAGUGGAACGAGAAUUUUCUUUCCUUAAAUUAUACAGCUUCCCUAAUGUGAUUGGUGCCAUAGACUGCACCCACGUUCUUAUCAAGGCCCCACCAGACGCCAAUGAAGGGGAUUUUGUGAAUCGACAGUGUUAAUGUGCAGGUGAUUACGAUGGGGUUCUUAUUGGAGACGGGGGUUAUGCCUGCAGGCAGUACUUCAUGACUCCAUUCCCAGACCCAAACCCAGUUCCACAAGCCCGAUACAAUGCAGCUCUAACUAGGACAAGCGCAUUGAAAUGACCUUCGGGCAACAAAAGAGAAGAUUUCAGUGUCUGAAAAGUCUGAGGGUUGCACCCGACAGGGCCUGUGACAUUACUGUUGCAUGUUCUCUGUUACACAACAUCACCACCAUCAGAAAGGAGAGGACCCCUGUGGUGGAGGUGCAUCCUGAUGAUGACCUCCAGCCAGUGCACUUGGAUCAACCUAGUGGAAAAGCUGCAUGGGA